rnacentral:lncRNA from 1 species
GUGAAAGAAGAAGGCUCAAACACCAAGAAAAUGAGAGACUCACAAGAUCGAGGUAAAUCCUCAACUUACGCGAUUGGAUGACUUGGAACGAGCGCACUUGAUCUACGCCCACUUCACGCUUCCGUCAUAAGUUAUAUUAAUGUGGUUUUAAUCUUUGGUCUUAUGUACUUCAACUUAUGUAGUCUUUUUAUGUCCUUGUGGUUUGGACAAUAACUAGUAGUAGUAGUAGUCUUGUUGUAAACAAUGUAAACACGUCCGUUUUGGGUUUGGCAACGGUCUUUUAUGUUGAAAUGUUUUACCGUAUA